rnacentral:rRNA from 1 species
UCCUGGCUCAGGAUGAACGCUAGCGAUAGGCCUAACACAUGCAAGUCGAGGGGCAGCAUAGAGUAGCAAUACUUGAUGGCGACCGGCGCACGGGUGAGUAACACGUAUGCAACCUACCUACAUCAGGGGAAUAACCCGGAGAAAUUCGGACUAAUACCGCAUAAUACAGGGAUGCCGCAUGGCAAUAUUUGUUAAAGAUUUAUCGGAUGUAGAUGGGCAUGCGUUCCAUUAGCUGGUUGGUAAGGUAACGGCUUACCAAGGCAACGAUGGAUAGGGGAACUGAGAGGUUUGUCCCCCACACUGGAACUGAGACACGGACCAGACUCCUACGGGAGGCAGCAGUGAGGAAUAUUGGUCAAUGGACGAGAGUCUGAACCAGCCAAAUCGCGUGAAAAGGAAGACUGCCCUACGGGUUGUAAACUUCUUUUGUACAGGAAUAAAAGACAUUACGUGUAAUGUAUUGCAUGUACUGUACGAAUAAGCAUCGGCUAACUCCGUGCCAGCCGCCGC